CCCUUCUCUCUAAAGCACCCUGCUGAAACUGCAGGAGCCAAACCUCACAGGUUUAGCUCAUGUGGCCGUGUAAGCAUGGGUACACCAGGGAAGGAGAUUAAAAUGCACAGUAUCAGAAAUGAGGCUUGUGGGGGACCUCUUUCUUAAUGUCCAGUGUCCUUCGUCUCAAGAUCCUGUGUUACACAU
ensembl:snoRNA